rnacentral:rRNA from 1 species
AUUGAACGCUGGCGGCAGGCCUAACACAUGCAAGUCGAACGAGUGGCGGACGGGUGAGUAAUGUCUGGGAAACUGCCUGAUGGAGGGGGAUAACUACUGGAAACGGUAGCUAAUACCGCAUACCAUCGGAUGUGCCAAGAUGGGAUUAGCUUGUAGGGGGGGUAACGGCUCACCUGGGCGCCGAGCCCUAGUUGGUCUGAGAGGAUGACCAGACACACUGGAACUGGGACACGGUACAGACUCCUACGGUAGGCAGCAGUGGGGAAUAUUGCACAAUGGGCGCAAGCCUGAUGCAGCCAGGCCGCGUGUAUGAAGAAGGCCUUCGGGUUGUAAAGUACUUUCAGCGGGGAGGCGUUACCCGCAGAAGAAGCACCGGCUAACUCCGUGCCAGCAGCCGCGGUAAUUC